AUUUUUGAUGAAUAUGACACUGUGCGAUUUUUGAAGAAUAAAAGUACCCUCUCAUGAGUAUUGUUUGAGGAGAGAAUAUUUCUGAGUACUGUUUUAAUUAUUUCGGCUCAGAGAUCCGACCGCUUCGCUCCCAAAUAUUGGUGGCCCGUACGGGGAGUUCUCUACAGGGAGAGGUUUGCGGUCGCUCAUCCGGAGAGGGGCCUGGUUGGCUGUGGUUCAGGGCCCACAGCAGGAGGAGAAUGGAAAAUGAUUCCUAUGUACUCGGGGCUGGAGUAUGAACACUACUGUGAAAGUUAUCACACCCCUUUUAACGUCAUCAUCGCAUUGGACCAUGACAACGGAGGACGUUGAGGAAAUACAGAAAAAGGACACUAAGGAAAUACAGAAAAGGUGAUGCUACCGAUGCAACAACACCCAAUUUACAUGCGAUACUUCUGUUACAACUAUGAUCUGAACAGGUUCCCUGACGUCUAAUGCUUGGAUAACAUGUAUGAUGUAAUAAUUAAGAGGAGAUUAGUAAGGAUUUGACUGCCAUUUUUGUUGUACAACGUUUUCUCCUGUUUCUGUUAAUUUAGGAAGGUAAGAUGAAUGUCUUUGGUUUCAAUUUCCUUUAUCAGGUCAGGUUUAUCCAUUAAAGGCAGAUCUGUUUGGUUGUUAUUUUGGCCUGGGUUAACCCUGAAGUUACAACAAUCUCCUUUUUGCACAACUUAAGUUUUAAUACCAAGUACAUUAGUUGGUUUCAUAUUCGGUGAUUUUAUAGAGCUUUGUAUGGUUUAGAGGAGAAUAUGUGGAGGAGUUAAAAGGACAAAAACAGUAAUCGGACUGUGGAGACAUCAAGAAAGGAUGUUUAAUUAGACAUGUGGUACUUUAAUGUCAUGGGUUAGCAGGAUACUGGUCAGUAUUCUCUGUCUUCUCAGAAUGACACCAAUCCAGAGACUGGCAGUACAAGUAACCUUUUUGGGCGUUGGACUCAGAGACCGAUGGACACAUGAAGACUUUGUGGGACCCUGAACCAGGAUAAAUGCGAUGGCAGAACAAUAAAGUCGAAAAGACCAAUCGCAGAGACUAAAGAAAGUUCCAGGAAGACCAAGGACAGAGACUGAACUACACUGUGUUGCUGCUGAGAAUUUUACUGAUGUUUUUCUAUUUUCUGUAAUAACUUUAAGUUUGUCUUUAUGUCGUUUUAAUGUUCUGAAUUGAUUCAGGCUGUUUAUGCACUCUGAUAGAAUGGGAGCAUCCAUUCAAGUGAUAUUCAGCUCCAGAGGUUCAACAUGGUCAAUGUUUUCUGUUACAAAUAUUAUGGUGAAUAGGAAUGAUGAACCAGGACCUGAUUGGCAUGAAACGUCCGUAAAAUAGAUGAUAAUGACACAUUAGAUUAAAAACAGAGAUCUCUUGUUCAGAUUGGACGAGAAUGGGAUUUCUCUGAGGCCUCCAGACGUUUUUCCCCGCCUUUUAGGACGGGUGGGUUUUUCGACUGGUGUGACCUAAGCCGACCUGAACGUCCCCUUCAUCGAUACGUAAGCUUGGGAGUUUGACUGACAUGGAUGUUUUCCAUGGGUGAGUUGAUUAGAUGUGUUCCUGAAGGAGACUUUUGGGAAAAGCUACAGAGUAGCCGGAUUUGGUCUAAUUAGUGAAUAGGUUUAGUUUAGCAUAGUCAAACACAGUUAAAAUAAUGUGCGCAUAGAAGCUCUAAAUAGGAUCUUAAUUAAUUAGUUGAAUCCGAAAUUUCAGACCUAAACAAGAACAAUCAUUUAGGGUUGCUUAAUAUUGUACAUAGAGUAUCUUCAAUUUCUUUUAUAAUCGUUCACAUUUUUAUUCGUUUAAUCACUUGACUACAUCACAUAUAAUCACAGGAUAUUUACAAUAUGAAUAUAAGACCUCUCUCAGCUGUUAAUUAGCUUAAAACCUAAUUAGGGGGAAUAUGUGGAAGCGUAAAGCUCUGUUUAAUUAGACAAAAGUGUUAUUAUUGUCUUUACCAUAAUAAAAUGAACUCUGUGAUAAGUUCACUCUGAGUGGAGACAUGCAAGCUGGGAAACAGAUUACAUUAGAGGAAAGUUCUUGGCGAGAGGAAAGACAAAUGAACUUGUUAUUGCAGGCAACCAGGAAAACUGGUGAACACUGCCAGGUCAACAGACCUGGCAAUCUUAAUAAAGUCAUGAGAGUGUUGUCACGUACGCCAAUCUGAUGUUUUCCAGAUGUUGGGCCGGAGUGUAUUCUCAGAAAAAGUAGAGAUAACAGUGUGAAUGUGCCAAGGAAUGUUAUGUAAAGGAGAAGAAUGAUUUCAAUUGGUUAAGAAGGCCCAAAUACACACCAAUGCUUUGUAUCUGUAUAAAAACCACCCUGCACAGACUGGAGGCCAGGGUGACUUCUGGAAUUUGUGAUUAAUAUGACACUGUGCGCUUUUUGAAGAAUAAAAGUACCCUCUCGUGAGUAUUGUUUGAGGAGAGAAUA